GACAAUAAUAACAAUGAAUUAAAAACUUUUAAAUGAUGAAUAUAUCCCCUCCUAAGGGGCAGGUUACAGGUUCGAAUCCUGUCGGGGUCACCA
rnacentral:tRNA from 1 species